rnacentral:rRNA from 1 species
AUUGAACGCUGGCGGCAUGCUUUACACAUGCAAGUCGAACGGUAACAGGGAGCUUGCUCCGCUGACGAGUGGCGAAUGGGUGAGUAAUGCGUCGGAACGUGCCGAGUAGUGGGGGAUAACGCAUCGAAAGGUGUGCUAAUACCGCAUACGUACUGAGGUAGAAAGUGGGGGACCUUCGGGCCUCACGCUAUUCGAGCGGCCGACGUCUGAUUAGCUAGUUGUUGAGGUAAAGGCUCACCAAGGCGACGAUCAGUAGCGGGUCUGAGAGGAUGAUCCGCCACACUGGGACUGAGACACGGCCCAGACUCCUACGGGAGUCAGCAGUGGGGAAUUUUGGACAAGGGGCGCAAGCCUGACCCAGCCACGCCGCGUGUCUGAAGAAGGCCUUCGGGUUGUAAAGGACUUUUGUCCGGGAGCAAAUGCCUGGUGUUAAUAGCAUCGGGAGCUGAGAGUACCGGAAGAAUAAGCACCGGCUAACUACGUGCCAGCCGCCGCCGUAACAC